rnacentral:rRNA from 1 species
CAAUAGCGUAUAUUAAAGUUGUUGCGGUUAAAAAGCUCGUAGUUGGAGUUCUGCCAGGUGCCGCCUGUCCGCCCCAGUGGUGAGUACGUGGCGCGCAUUUGGCCCUUUCAAGGGGAGCGUAUCUGCACUUUAUUGUGUGGUGCGGGAUCCUUGACUUUUACUUUGAGGAAAUAGGAGUGUUCCAAGCAGGCUCUCGUCGUGCACAGCUCAGCAUGGGAUAAUAGCAUUGGACCUCGAUUCUAAGCUGUUGGUUGCCAGAAGCGAGGUAAUGAUGAAGAGGGAUAGUUGGGGGCAUUCGUAUUUAACUGUCAGAGGUGAAAUUCCUGGAUUUGUUAAAGACGGACUACUGCGAAAGCAUCUGCCAUGGAUGUUUUCAUUGA